rnacentral:rRNA from 1 species
GUGCCAGCAGCCGCGGUAAUACGGAGGGUGCUAGCGUUGUUCGGAAUCACUGGGCGUAAAGCGCGUGUAGGCGGUCCGUUAAGUCUGAUGUGAAAGCCCGGGGCUCACCCCCGGAAGUGCAUUGGAAACUGACGAACUCGAGUCCCGGAGAGGAGGGUGGAAUUCCUGGUGUAGCGGUGAAAUGCGUAGAUAUCAGGAGGAACACCGGUGGCGAAGGCGGCCCUCUGGACGGUGACUGACGCUGAGACGCGAAAGCGUGGGGAGCAAACAGGAUUAGAUACCCCCGUAGUCC